AAGUUCCUACGGGGGGCAGCAGUGGGGGAUAUUGCACAAUGGGGGGAACCCUGAUGCAGCGACGCCGCGUGGGCGAUGGAGUGCUUCGGCAUGUAAAGCCCUAUCAGCAGGGAAGAAAAUGACGGUACCUGACUAAGAAGCCCCGGCUAACUACGUGCCAGCAGCCGCGGUAAUACGUAGGGGGCAAGCGUUAUCCGGAUUUACUGGGUGUAAAGGGAGCGUAGACGGCGCGGCAAGUCUGAAGUGAAAGGCAGGGGCUUAACCCCUGAACUGCUUUGGAAACUGCCAUGCUAGAGUGCUGGAGG
rnacentral:rRNA from 1 species